rnacentral:misc_RNA from 1 species
AACUUUUGGCACCGGAUCACUUGGCUCUCGCAUCGAUGAAGAACGCAGCGAAAUGCGAUAAGUAAUGUGAAUUGCAGAAUUCAGUGAAUCAUCGAAUCUUUGAACGCACCUUGCGCCCUUUGGCUAUUCCGAAGGGCAUGCCUGUUUGAGUAUCAUGAACACCUCAACUCUCAUGGCUUGCCAUGAUGAGCUUGGACUUUGGGGGUCUUGUUGGCCUGUGAGCCAGCUCCCCUUAAAUGGAUUAGCUUGCCGGUGUUUGGUGGCAUCACAGGUGUGAUAACUAUCUACGCUUGUGGUUUCCCAUCAGGUAACCUUCAGCAAUGGAGGUUCGCCGGGGCUUAUAAAUGUCUCUCCUCAGCGAGGACAGAUUUUGACCAUUUGAUCUCAAAUCAGGUAGGACUACCCGCUGAACUUAAGCAUAUCAAUAAGCGGAGGCU